rnacentral:rRNA from 1 species
UACGUAGGGCGCAAGCGUUGUCCGGAAUUAUUGGGCGUAAAGAGCUCGUAGGCGGCUUGUCACGUCUGCUGUGAAAUCCCGGGGCUUAACCCCUGGCUUGCAGUGGAUACGGACAGACUAGAGGUAGGUAGGGGAGAAUGGAAUUCCCGGUGUAGCGGUGAAAUGCGCAGAUAUCGGGAGGAACACCGGUGGCGAAGGCGGUUCUCUGGGCCUUACCUGACGCUGAGGAGCGAAAGCGUGGGGAGCGAACAGG